rnacentral:lncRNA from 1 species
GGUGUGUGAAAACACGGCAGUGACAGGGGUACCAGCACUGCCUCGCGAACAGAUGUGAUCCUCAGACAUCACAGGCGUCUGUGGUCUCUCUGAGGAGCCUACAUGCCUGACGGGCUGCAGCUCUCGGCCGUGCCUGCGCUGUGGGGACUGGCUCUGCAACACAGCAAUGCUGGGGGGAGUUUUCCUUCACCUCAUGUGGUUAGACAGCAUUGUCUCUUCAGGCACAGUACUUCUAUAAGUUUUGAACUUUGUGGCCCCUUCCCAAAGUUUCCUAAAAAAGAAAGAACAAUGAAAGAUAAUGAAAAAACUGAAAGAUUAUGA